GUGGGGAAUCUUGCGCAAUGGGCGAAAGCCUGACGCAGCCAUGCCGCGUGAAUGAUGAAGGUCUUAGGAUUGUAAAAUUCUUUCACCGGGGACGAUAAUGACGGUACCCGGAGAAGAAGCCCCGGCUAACUUCGUGCCAGCAGCCGCGGUAAUACGAAGGGGGCUAGCGUUGCUCGGAAUUACUGGGCGUAAAGGGCGCGUAGGCGGACAGUUUAGUCAGAGGUGAAAGCCCAGGGCUCAACCUUGGAAUUGCCUUUGAUACUGGCUGGCUGGAGUACGGGAGAGGUGAGUGGAACUCCGAGUGUAGAGGUGAAAUUCGUAGAUAUUCGGAAGAACACCAGUGGCGAAGGCGACUCACUGGCCCGUUACUGACGCUGAGGCGCGAAAGCGUGGGGAGCAAACAGGAUUAGAAACCCCAGUAGUCC
rnacentral:rRNA from 1 species